GUUCCCCUCUUUAUCGAGCAGCGGCCCUCGACGAUCCGCUCGGCGCCUCGCUAGGGUUCCUGCGUGCGUGAUCAUUGGACGAUCGACAGGGGAAUCGAGGGGCUUCUGUUCCCUCUUGUACGGGUACAUAUUGGGCAGCAGAUCGAAUAGGAAAUCGGAAUCAAGAAACACAAGGGAACUCCAUGUUAGCCCCGAUUUUGUCGCUCCCGGCCCCGCCCGCUGAUGGAAACCUCGGCCCGAUUCCCCUUGCCCAGGUCUCGAAUGAUUCCUCCGCCAAUAAGUCGCAAGAACAGAAAGAGCAGUCCCCUCCUGCGCCGGCUCCGGCACCAGUCGCGACGCAUACGAAAACGAUCGGUAUCAUCCACCCUCCACCUGAUAUUCGAGUGAUCAUAGACAAGACUGCGGCUUUCGUCGCCAAGAACGGCCCCGAGUUUGAAAAGAGGAUUCUUGCCAACAAUGCCGGCAACAACAAAUUCAACUUUUUGACUGCUUCGGACCCUUACCAUGCCUACUACCAGCACAAGGUCUCGGAGCACCGCGCCCUGGUCCAGGCUGCCCCUCAGCAGCCAUCCGAAGACUCCUCUCAGCCAUCAGAACCUGCCCCCGCACCUUCUGAUGGCUCGGCUGCCCCCGCAGCUGCAACUGCACCUCCUGAAGAGGCUACAGCCAAGGUUGACCUUGCAGCUCAGUUUAGAGUUCCUCCAAAGAAGGUUCUUGAGCCCCCUGAGGCCGAGCAGUACACAGUUAGGCUCCCAGAAGGGAUCACUGGGGAGGAGUUGGAUAUCAUUAAGCUCACUGCACAGUUCGUUGCUCGGAAUGGGAAGAACUUCUUGACAAACCUCACAAGCCGAGAGAUGAGCAACCCGCAAUUCCAUUUCUUGAAACCGACCCACAGCAUGUUCACAUUCUUCACGACUCUUACAGAUGCAUACUCAAAGGUGCUGAUGCCUCCAACGGGACUGACAGAAAAGCUGCGGAAAAGCACCAGUGAUUUGACUACAGUGCUCGAGAGGUGUUUGCACCGUCUUGACUGGGAGCGGUCUCAGGAACAGGCUAGGCAGAAGGCUGAGGAUGAGAUCGAGCAAGAAAGGCUGCAAAUGGCCAUGAUUGAUUGGCAUGAUUUUGUUGUUGUUGAAACCAUUGAGUUUGCUGAUGACGAGGAUGAGGAGCUUCCCUUACCAAUGACAUUGGAUGAAGUCAUUAGGAGGAGCAAGAUAUCGUCAUUGGAUGAGGAGGAACCAAUGCAAACAGUUGAACCAGGGAAGGAGAUGGAGAUGGAGAUGGAUGAAGAUGAGAUGCUGCUUGUGGUGGAAGGCAUGAAGGCUACAGGACUUGACAAGAAUGGUGCGGAUGAGAAAAAGAGAGAAGCAAGGGCAUCCGGUGAUGAGCCUGAGCCUCCUAUGAGGAUAGUGAAGAACUGGAAGAGACCUGAGGAGAGGAUAGCUGCUGAAAGAGAUCCAACCAAGUUUGUGAUUUCACCAAUUACCAAUGAGCUUAUUCCUAUUAAUGAGAUGGCCGAGCACAUGCGCAUUUCACUCAUAGACCCCAAAUACAAGGAGCAGAAAGAGAGGAUGAUGGCCAAAAUCCGGGAGACAACUCUUGCUCCGGAUGAUGAGAUCUCUAGGAAUAUUGUUGGGCUUGCACGAACUCGUCCCGAUAUUUUUGGUACCACUGAAGAAGAAGUCUCCAAUGCUGUCAAGGCAGAGAUUGAGAAAAAGAAAGAUGAGCAGCCAAAGCAGGUCAUAUGGGAUGGGCACUCAGGCAGUAUUGGACGCACUGCCACCCAAGCCUUAUCACAGGGUUUUUCUGGUGAGGAACAAACUGACGCUAAUAACAAUGAUUUGAGGACACUUCCAGGUCCUGCACCUGCACCAAGACCUGGGGUACCAUUUGUCCGCCCACUACCUCCACCACCUGGAUUGGCGUUAAAUAUUCCUCGAUUCCCCCCAAACCAAGUCCAAUAUUCUGUUCCUUCUGCUGGUGGGGGUCUUGUUGCACCUCCAAGGCCUGGAAUCAUCCCAAUGAUUCCAUCCAUGAGGCCUGGACCUUCACCUAUGCCUAUGACCUCGUCAUCGCAGCAUGUUAUGAUGGGUCAGCAGCCAUUAUCUCAAUCAAUUAUGGUGAACCCUCCCAGUAUCCCUGUACCUCCACCUCCUGGAUCCCAGUUCACACCAUUGGUAGUUCCUCGACCUUUUGUUCCAUUGCCUAUGCCACCGCCUAACAUGCCAAUGGUUCCCCCGCCACCUCCACCACAAGGAAUGCCGCCACCUCCUCCCCCAGAGGAAGCUCCACCGCUACCAGAUGAACCUGAACCAAAACGGCAAAGAGUCGAUGAUGUUUCACUCAUGGCAGAGGAUCAGUUCCUUGCCCAGCAUCCGGGAUCCAGCCGGAUUUCUGUAUCUGUUCCAAAUGUGGAUGAAGGAAACUUGAAAGGUCAGCUUCUGGAGAUUGCAGUACAGUCUUUAUCCGAGACUGUUGGCAGUCUUAAGGAGAAGAUUGCGGCAGAGGUUCAGCUUCCUGCUAAUAAACAGAAACUGAGUGGUCGCGCUGGUUUUCUCAAGGAUAAUCUUACCCUUGCUUAUUAUAACAUUGGCCCUGGAGAAACUCUAACCCUUGCUCUGAGGGAACGUGGUGGGAGAAAGAGAUAAGCUUUUUGUCAAACAAGCAGAACUUUUCUUCGUCCAGUUAUUCUCAUAUAUUUACAAUUCGGAUGAUGUUGUUUCCUUAAGUCGUAUUGCUGAUAUGAAUAUGUUCCUCCAAGAGAACAAGCUUACUGUUAUGGCUUGAUAUAUUGCUAUCAAAGAUCUUGUUUAGCGUGCAAUAUCUAUGUACUACAGAAUCUUUCUUUCUAAUCUGCUAGCUAACUGAUGCAGGUUUUAUAUUCCAGAGAAGAUAAUUCUUCAGGUCCCCUAUCCUAUUAAUUAUUUUCUGCAAGGAGGCUUUGAGUUUUUUUCUCAUGCACUAGCAGAACUUUUCAGCAUUGUCUAUUAGUACUGAUCAGAAGGAAGAUGCAUUUUCAUAAACUGCUCUUGUGACCUUUUGUUUUCCUUAAAUGCCCCUUAUGCUGAACUUUUUACAUAGAAAGUUAUGUCACACUGGAAUCACUUGAUGAUAACUCAGGGUUUCUUGUUCUUGCAUAUUGGUAACUUUUUGCCAGCUUAGCAUGCUGAAUAGUGUUGAAAUGCUAUCGUGGCAGGAGCCUGUUGUAUGACGUUAAGGUCAGCUCCAUCCACCUUGCUUGGAAUUCAGGCCAAGAAUUUGAGAGAACUUGGUGCAGCGAGCAACAUGCCAUUUUAAUGUCUACCGGGUGUUCGUCCCUGCAACUUUUGGCAGAGUCUGGGGUAUGGCCUGAUCGAUGUUUCUUUGUUUAUUUGCAACGUUUUUUCUUCUGGGUUCCCAAAUAUCUAAAUUGUUUUAUGGGAGUAUGGCUGCUAGAUGUUUCUUUGUUUCUCUGUAACGUUCCUUCUUCUGGGUUCCCAAAUACCUAAAUGUUUCAUGGGAGUCGCAGCAUUGAUGGUUGAUCCUCCCUGUUCACUCCA